rnacentral:rRNA from 1 species
AUUGAACGCUGGCGGCAGGCCUAACACAUGCAAGUCGAGCGGAUGAAGGGAGCUUGCUCCUGGAUUCAGCGGCGGACGGGUGAGUAAUGCCUAGGAAUCUGCCUGGUAGUGGGGGAUAACGUCCGGAAACGGGCGCUAAUACCGCAUACGUCCUGAGGGCGAACGUGGGGGAUCUUCGGACCUCACGCUAUCAGAUGAGCCUAGGUCGGAUUAGCUAGUUGGUGGGGUAAAGGCCUACCAAGGCGACGAUCCGUAACUGGUCUGAGAGGAUGAUCAGUCACACUGGAACUGAGACACGGUCCAGACUCCUACGGGAGGCAGCAGUGGGGAAUAUUGGACAAUGGGCGAAAGCCUGAUCCAGCCAUGCCGCGUGUGUGAAGAAGGUCUUCGGAUUGUAAAGCACUUUUAGUUGGGAGGAAGGGCAGUAAGUUAAUACCUUGCUGUUUUGACGUUACCAACAGAAUAAGCACCGGCUAACUUCGUG